rnacentral:misc_RNA from 1 species
GUGAAUUCAUCCUCAGUCGGCGUCGUGCUCCCUAGUUGUCCUUUGUUUUGCGCCGGAUUCGCUAGCGCCCCAGCAGCUUCGCCGCCGUCUCCACUCCUUUCUCUCCUUCUUCCACAAUAUGCUUCGCCGACUUGUAUCCUGCGCAUCGCCGUUGCGCUUGCGGGGCUGUGGUGCGGCCACUGUCUUUGGCAAUGCCCGUUUUGCUUCCACGGCGAACGCAUCGGCAGCACCGCCCACGAGCUCCCCCAAGGCGCCGACCUACGGCACUGUUCCCGAUAUCCCGAACCUGAACUUCCUUUCCAGUCCUGAUAACCUGCUUAACACCGUGGAUGGCACGGUGGACGUGUGCGAGGCGUUGCUGAAGGAGAUUCCAAAGGCGAAGACGCCGCAGGCAAAGCAUGACCUAAUCGAUUCCACCAGCAACGUGCUCUGCCUGCUGCUGGACCCGUGCGAAUUUGUACGUCAAAUCCACCCAGACGAGAACUACAAGCGUAGCGCCUCCCUCGCCUUCCAGAAGGGGUACGAGUACAUGUGCGAGGUGAACUCGCGGCGCGACCUCUACGACGUCAUUAAGGAGCUAGAUAGCUCGGAAGGCCGCAAAGGCCUGACGCCAGAGUCCGUCAAGAAUGUUGUGCAGCUGAGGAGGGACAUGGAGAGCAACGGCAUUCAUCUUCCAGACGCGCAGCGCGCCAAGGUGACGGAGAUGAACAUCGAGAAGGAAGAACUGGCGAUGCGCUUCUUGACAGAGCAGGGCUCGGCCAACCCUUUCGGCACUCUCCGGUACCUUCUUCAGUGCCGCUACGAGCUGGCGCAGUUGCUGGGGUUCGAGAGCUACGCAGAGCAACAGCUGCGCGGGACGAUGCUGGAGAAUCAGGAGAACGUGUGGCACUUCCUUUGUAGCAUUGCGAGCAAAUAUCGUCAGCAGGCGGAGGCGGAGAUGGACCUCAUCCGUAAACACGUCGGCGAGGUGCGCAAUCGUGCCAACAUCACCGAUGAAUACCGAGCCCGCGUUGCGUCCUCGAUGCGGCGCGAUGCAGAGCCGGAGAAUGCGCUCGAAUACUUCUCCGUCGCGAACUGCGUGCGCGGCAUUCAGUGUCUCUGCUCGGAGGUCUUCGGCGUGAAGCUGGAGGAGGUCCCCCUCAACCCCGAAGAGGUCAUCAAUAACAGUGUCAAGAAGUUUCAUGUGUACGAUGAGCACAAGAGGUUUCUCGGCGUGAUUGUGCUGGACAUGUACAUGAACGAGAUGAAGUACUGCCAGGCUGGCCACUUGACGCUGCAGCUCGGCUGCGUGCCGCACCAGGAGGCCCUCGCCACAGUGGGGCUGCGCUUACCGAAGCGGCAGUACCCGGUAGUUGUGCUCACGGCAAAUGUUGGCGCGCUGAAGCCGGCGCAGCGCCGCCCCGAUGGCACAUACGACGACGAGGCCACCCUAAUGCAGCCGAACGAGGUGACGACCGUUUUCCAUGAGUUUGGCCACGCCAUGCAUACCAUCUUUGGACAGACCCAGGUGCAAAACUUGGCCGGCACGCGCGCGAGCAUCGACUACGUCGAGACUUUCUCGCAGCUCUUUGAGCAGUUCCUCUCGUCCCACGAGUUCUUGAAGCUGUGGGCGCACCGCAUCAACACCCGUGAGCCGAUCUCCUUCGACAUUGUGCAGAAGCGCAACAGCGCGGCGAACAUGUUCAAGCACCUGGAUAUGCUGGACCAGGUGGUGCUCUCCGCGGUGGACCAGGCGCUGCACGGGCCGCAGCCGUUAACGGUGUACUUCCCGCACGGCGACCAGGGUCACGUGGGCAAGCGCACGCUCGGUGACCUGGGCGACUACGGCCGUGGUGGUUUCAACAUGGCACGGGCCCUCAUUCAGGUGGCGAAGCCGGUCUCCGUCGCGGAGCCGACCGAGACCGGCGUCCUGAGUACGCUCUCCUUUGAGCACCUUUCGGGAUACCCUGCAGGCUACUACGGCUACCUCUACAGCCUGAGCGUGGCGCGUCGAAUCUGGACGAAAAAGUUCGAGCGCGACCCGCUCAACCGCGAUGCCGGGCGUGAGUUGGCAGAGAAAGUCAUGUGCCACGGCGCCGCCUGUGACCCACGCGAAACCAUCGAGAAAUACCUCGGCGACAACCUCACAGAUAUUGAUAUUUGGGCCUAAAAGAAUGGUAAGCAGGUGCGUGUCUCGCUCUCUCUGCGUGCGUGCGCCGGCCAGCCGCUGCGGUUCGAAUCACACAAGAGUAAUCGCGGGAGGGGGGGGGUAGAGGCUCAGGUAGUCCGCGAAAGAGUCGCGCAUGCGUGUAUGCAUGUUUGGAGGUGGGAGCUGUGGGGGCGGUGGUGGUGGCCGUGGCGACGCAGAGUCCUGCAACGGAGCGUUUCUGCGUGUCAUGUGACGAGCUCGUGUUCGAAGAUCAUCGUUGCUUCCCGGAGAUGAAUUCGUCCUCUUCUUUUUUUUUAAAUAUAUACGCACCUCUCCCCGCCGUACUUUGGCAUUCACAAAGGUCCGUUCUCCCCCCUCUCCCCUCUCUACUUCCCUCCCCGUCGUGCCGCUGUCUUGGCAGGUGCUCACAGUCGCUGGGCUGCUGCUAUGGAUGAACAUGGCUGCCGAGCGGUUCGCCCACCAGGCCUGGCGAGCACUGCGCUCCGUUUGGUAUGCUGCGAACGCCUCAUCUUUAUUCCUCCACCAUCCCCUCCCUCUCUGUGUCUGUGUGCUAGGGGGCGUGAGCAGAUGUCUUCUUCACGCACGCAUGAUCUGUUCAUCUCUGUAUCCCGCUUUUCCGUCUUGCGGAGGCGCAUGCACCAGUAAUGUGCGGCUUAGUUCUCGGAAGUGGCACUUAAAAGAAUACAAGGAAGGAAGAGGUUGUUACAAGCAAACAAAAAGGAAAGCAACGGCUGUGGCAAGACGGUUAGAGAGAGAAAAAGACAGCGUGAUAACUACACCAUCCCAAGGCGCACCCCAAGAGGUGCAUCGAAGCCCGCGCUUAAGCAGAGGAGAAAAUGCUCACCACCAUCGCAGGUGACCACCGCCCACUACUCAAACUCCAUCAACGCGGGGCGAAGGGUGUGAAGGACAGACGUUGAUCACCGCUCCCUCCCCCCUGCCAAACACGGCAGUGUGCUGAUGUAAUGGCGGAUUCUCUCCGUUUCUUUGCUUCACUUUGACCUCGUCUCGGUCGCCUGCUUAUCGUGUCGUAACCCUUGCGUGCAACGGCUCCCUCGGCUGUCUUUUGGCUUCCCGCUUUGGACUCGUUCUCCCUUCACACCGAUGUAUGCGGUGCUGCGGUGCGAGAGUCGACUCGCUGGCGCGCUCUCUUUCUGUUGGCACACACGCACACUUCCAUUUCACCCACGUACGCCUUGUCUCCGCCGGGCAG